UAGGGAAUCUUCCGCAAUGGACGAAAGUCUGACGGAGCAACGCCGCGUGAGUGAAGAAGGUUUUCGGAUCGUAAAGCUCUGUUGUUAAGGAAGAACGAGUGUGAGAAUGGAAAGUUCAUGCUGUGACGGUACUUAACCAGAAAGGGACGGCUAACUACGUGCCAGCAGCCGCGGUAAUACGUAGGUCCCGAGCGUUGUUCGGAUUUAUUGGGCGUAAAGCGAGCGCAGGCGGUUAGAAAAGUCUGAAGUGAAAGGCAGUGGCUCAACCAUUGUAGGCUUUGGAAACGGUUUAACUUGAGUGCAGAAGGGGAGAGUGGAAUUCGAUGUGUGGCGGUGAAAUGCGUAGAUAUAUGGAGGAACACCGGUGGCGAAAGCGGCUCUCUGGUCUGUAACUGACGCUGAGGCUCGAAAGCGUGGGGAGCGAACAGG
rnacentral:rRNA from 1 species